CUCAAUGUUAAUAAAGCUAAUUAAUUUCAUCUUCUUUUUACAAUCCUAAUUUUAGCAUUCAAUAUGAACAGUAUUAUGUCAGAAGGAUUAAACAUCUUGGAACUAAAUUGUGUGUGGAACUAAUUGUUCAUGGGUCAGAAAAUUCCUCAUAACACUAUAACAAAAAAUAUUUUUGGAAGAAUUCUUUAAAUUUAUAGCUUGUCAUUAUUAUUUAUUUCUUAUGAAUAUUUCUCUUUGUGGUAGUAGUUCCUUUAUAACCUUUAUUAAUAUAAAUGCUUCAAAUCUUAAUCUGCUUGAAAAGUUAAGUGAAAUCCACUAUAUGCAUGAAAAUGAUUAACUCGUAGAACUUGCAUUUUCAUUGUUUGAAAAAGCAUCCCGAAGAAUUUAACCCCUGUCCUUUUUUUAAAAAUUAAUAAAAUUGUUUAGAAUAAAGUAAAGUGGUUUUUUAAAAUGAAGCUAUGAAUGUUUAUUGAAACGGUAAUUUAUCCCUUCUUUUCCAUGUACUUAUGAUUAUUAUAUAAUUUAGCAUUUUUAUUCCUUUUCAUUUUUAUAAUUGUAUUUACAUCGGUGGUGGAGGUUCAGUUUGCAAAUCAGCAGUGUUACAUACUAUCUUUUCCUAGACAGUCCUUUGGGAUAGAAUGAUAGUCAGAGUGGGUCCAAAAAACAUGAUACACAGAAGUUUUUUUGCUCAUUAUGCCAUUUUGGUGCAGAUUCUGAAAAUUAUUUUAUUAAUCACUAAGCCUUUGUAUGCAAUUCUAAGCUAUUGUUAUAAAUAGUUUGUAGUGAUUAGGACAUAAAUCAAACUAAAUUAUUUUUAUAAAUUUGAUACCUCUACUUUUAAAUUAGGAAAGCUCAAGAACCAGUUCAUCAAGUUCUAACUACUGGUUUCAUUUAACAAAUUUGAAUUCAUAUGAAAGCUAUUGAACCCUAAGAUACGUUUUUGCUUACUUGUUCUAAUACAAUGCCUUAUUUUUUUAAAAAAAUACUAUUCUGGUGCACAUCCUAUAUAAAGAAAAACUGUGAUAGAUUUUCCUAACUACAGUACAAAUUGCAUCAAUUUUUAUUUCAUUUGAAAGAUUAUGGUGAUUUUUGCACUUUUUGUUUUUGAGGGAGAAUGCAAAAUAAAACUUUGACACAACUUCCACCCUCAGUAGAUGGAAUGAUUACACAAAAUAAUUUUGUAUGUAUAUUUAACCAAUCAGAAUAUUAUCUUUAUUGUGUAAGUAUAAUUUAAAAUCUUUUCAUUUAGUGUAAAAAAAUGUUGCCUUGUCUAAAUUACUAUUAAUAUAAGGUAGGUGGAUAAUUGUAUAAAUAGGGUGAAUUAAAAAUUAUUCAUUAAUUAAAUUAUUAAGAAAUAAUUAAUCAAAUUUUUGUUUCAUUUUUAUCAUACAUCAGUUAGUGGAUUUAGUUUAAGUACUUUGAUUUAUAUUAUUAUAUAUUCUAUUGUAUAUUGUUAUUGUUCAUUGGAAAUUUUUAAAUUAAUAAAAGCGUCUAUUAAAUGUAUUCAUCAAAUGUUUUCAGAAUGAAAGUGAAUCAAAAAGAAAAAGGAUUGGGAGAUGUUCUGGAAACCUGAGGUUUUUCUAAUGAUAAUCUGAGUAAAUAGUCUCCUGAGUAACAUCUCCAUUUACUAAAUAUACCUUGCACUCUCCAGUGGAUCCCAGCUCAUGUUGGAAUUGAGGGGAACAAAUGUGCAGAUGCCCUUGCAAAGGAAGCAUGCGAUGAAGACCAACCUCGAGUAGUCACCAGUGCAGAAGCAAAUGCUGCCGCCAGACGAAGGAUCUAAACCAGCAUCUUAGCAAGGCAACAAUCCCCGAUCUAAACUGCCCAGGAAACCUUUCCUCUACAAUAGCUAGGCUACGUACUGGACAUUUCAAAGGCAUGAAGAUCUCACGAACCAAUAUAAAAUCCUAUCCCCUCUGCAAGUACUGUCCCCAUUCACAACUAACGCCAGAUCAUGUUUUUGAUUGCCAUGCCAUUAUCGGUUUCCUCUUUCAACUUGGAGCACCCCCAAUCAAAAUCCUCCAUAGCCAUCAGGCUCCAGAACUUGCAGAUCUUGUCACCAAGACUUUUGAAGGACUCUAAUCUUUUGCACUAGCACUGUAUGCAUAGACAUGACAACAACAGCAAAGAAGAAUGAUGAGACAGAAAAUAGAGGCAAGAAGUGUUUUGUGAAUAUGCGACUUUUUCCUAAAUGAAAUUACUGAUGUAACAGAAGAAGCAUAGAGCAUGAAAGAAUAGGAGUGAGAAGUGUUCUAGAUAUUGGGUUUUUUCUCUGAAUGAGAUUUCAGAGGAAAAAAUGCCCAUCUUAAAAGCAAAAUCCUGGGAAAAUUGAAAAUGGCAUAUUAUAUGUAUAAAAAUAGCUAUAUCAAAUUUCUGUCCCCAAGUGAAAAUGCUGCCAUGGCAGCUUAUUGUACAAACAGCAAAUGAAUUCCUAUAAGAUGUGAACUAGAACUAACUAUUGAAUAAACCUGCAAGUUUUGAACUCUUGGUUAUGCCAUCUAUGGAGCAGGCACUGAUACAUGAAGGUAGUCUAAUUGAGGAAACAAAACCAGAUCUGCAGUGCUGAAGGAAAGCUGUAUUAGCAAUGUAAAAUAGAGAAGGAAGAGAAAAGUGAAAACUUGAUGCUUGCUUUCAAUUAAGAAAGUUUGUUACAUUAUGCUUCCAACAGAAAAUAUGUAUAUAAAUGUCUGUAAUUGAUUUAUAUAAUAAUUCUCGUUUCAAA